ACCCGGGCUAGAGAGGACAGCGGACCGCAGGUUUAGUCCUGGCUGUGGAGUUGGGAUGCUGAGAUGGGUCUGGAGAGAUGCAGGAUGUUCUAGUCCCAGUUAGGAUGGUAAAUAGGGUCCUCGCUCCGAGGAGGGAUGCUGAACGGGGUCUGGAAGAAUGCAAGAUGUCCUGGUCCGGGCCAGGAGUGGUAUGAUGUGCAUGUUUUUAAUCCCAGCACUCAGGAGGCAGAGGCAAGAGGAUCUCUGGGUUCUUGGACAACCUGGUCUAUAUGGGUAAGUGGAUAGAGGGAUGUUAGAAGGAGAAUUGUAGUGAAUCACCCUUCUCUCCAAUCACCUGACAGCAAUGAUCCCACAUCAUCCCAGCCCAAAAGACGCAGGGUUGGUGGUCGUGCUGAGCAGCUACUGGACAGGAGCUGGACGUCAGAUCCCUGUGGGGAUAUAAGAGGAUGUUUCCAGAAAGACCAAACUAAAAAGGAAAGUCCAACCCUGAAUGUGGAGGACAGCCUCCCCUAGGCUGGGCUCCCAGACUGAGUAAGAAGAAAAUGAGCUGAGCACGCUUCCCCCCUCCCCCUCUCUCUCCCCUACCCCCCCCAUACAAUGUGGUCAGUUACCAGCCAACCCCCUGCUGCGGUGCCUAUCCCUACCACUGUGAACUGUUCGCCCUUCCUAGGAACUAAAAUAAACCUUUCCUUUUGUCU
ensembl:processed_transcript RIKEN cDNA 2010001A14 gene